rnacentral:rRNA from 1 species
CCUACGGGAGGCAGCAGUGGGGAAUAUUGGACAAUGGGGGGAACCCUGAUCCAGCCAUGCCGCGUGUGUGAAGAAGGCCCUCGGGUUGUAAAGCACUUUCAGUGAGGAAGAACGCCUGGUGGUUAAUACCCAUCAGGAAAGACAUCACUCACAGAAGAAGCACCGGCUAACUCCGUGCCAGCAGCCGCGGUAAUACGGAGGGUGCGAGCGUUAAUCGGAAUUACUGGGCGUAAAGCGCGCGUAGGUGGCUUGAUAAGCCGGUUGUGAAAGCCCCGGGCUCAACCUGGGAACGGCAUCCGGAACUGUCAGGCUAGAGUGCAGGAGAGGAAGGUAGAAUUCCCGGUGUAGCGGUGAAAUGCGUAGAGAUCGGGAGGAAUACCAGUGGCGAAGGCGGCCUUCUGGACUGACACUGACACUGAGGUGCGAAAGCGUGGGUAGCAAACAGGAUUAGAUACCCUGGUAGUC